AUUGAACGCUGGCGGCAGGCCUAACACAUGCAAGUCGAGUGAGCGACGGACGGGUGAGUAAUGUCUGGGAAACUGCCUGAUGGAGGGGGAUAACUACUGGAAACGGUAGCUACUACCGCAUACAAUCAGAUGUGCCCAGAUGGGAUUAGCUAGUAGGUGGGGUAAUGGCUCACCUAGGCGACGAUCCCUAGAUGGUCUGAGAGGAUGACCAGCCACACUGGAACUGAUACACGGACCAGACUCAUACGGGAGGCAGCAGUGGGGAAUAUUGCACAAUGGGAGCAAGCAUGAUGCAGCCAUGCCGGGUGUGUGAAGAAGUCCUUCGGGGUGUAAAGCACUUUCAGCGGGGAGGCGUUACCCGCAGAAGAAGCACCGGCUAACGCCGUGCCAGCAGCCGCGGUAAUUC
rnacentral:rRNA from 1 species